GUGAGGAAUAUUGCGCAAUGGAGGCAACUCUGACGCAGCCAUGCCGCGUGCAGGAAGAAGGCGCUACGCGUUGUAAACUGCUUUUAACCGGGAAGAAACCCCAGGACGUGUCCUGGGUUGACGGUACCGGAGGAAUAAGCACCGGCUAACUUCGUGCCAGCAGCCGCGGUAAUACGAAGGGUGCAAGCGUUAUCCGGAUUCAUUGGGUUUAAAGGGUGCGUAGGCGGAUCGUUAAGUCAGUGGUGAAAUCCUGCAGCUUAACUGUAGACUUGCCAUUGAUACUGGCGCUCUUGAGUGCGCUUGAAGUGGGCGGAAUGUGCCGUGUAGCGGUGAAAUGCUUAGAUAUGGCACAGAACACCAAUUGCGAAGGCAGCUCACUAAGGCGAUACUGACGCUGAGGCACGAAAGCGUGGGGAUCGAACAGGAUUAGAUACCCGGGUAGUCC
rnacentral:rRNA from 1 species